rnacentral:rRNA from 1 species
CCUACGGGAGGCAGCAGUCGCGAAUUUUCACAAUGGACGCAAGUCUGAUGAAGCCACGCCGUGUGCGGGAUGAAGGCUCUUUGAGUUGUAAACCGCUGUCAAGUGGAGGGAAACGUACGGUGUUAACAGCGCCGUGCCUGACUGUCCGCUAAAGGAAGCCCCGGCAAAACAUGUGCCAGCAGCCGCGGUAAUACAUGUGGGGCAAGCGUUGUUCGGAAUUACUGGGCAUAAAGGGUGCGUAGGCGGCAUGUUAAGUCAGGGGUGAAAUCCCACGGCCCAACCGUGGAACUGCCUUUGAUACUGGCGUGCUUGAGUGCGUGAGGGGUAACCGGAACGAGUAGUGUAGCGGUGAAAUGCGUAGAUAUUACUCGGAAGGCCAAAGGCGAAGGCAGGUUACUGGUACGCAACUGACGCUGAGGCACGAAAGCGUGGGGAGCAAACGGGAUUAGAUACCCUGGUAGUCCACGCCGUAAACGAUGAGCACUAGGUUGAUGGCACGCUACGUGUUGUCNGCGCAGAAAGUUAAAUAAGUAGCGUCCGCCGUGGGAGGUAGUGGUCGUCGAGGACGUGAACGUUACGAAAGGAAGUUAGACGGCGNGAGACGGACCGACGGACGACGACGAGGGAGGAGG